rnacentral:rRNA from 1 species
UACGUAGGGUGCAAGCGUUAAUCGGAAUUACUGGGCGUAAAGCGUGCGCAGGCGGUUUUGUAAGUUUGUCGUGAAAUCCCCGGGCUCAACCUGGGAAUGGCAUUGGUGACUGCACGGCUAGAGUGUGUCAGAGGGGGGUAGAAUUCCACGUGUAGCAGUGAAAUGCGUAGAGAUGUGGAGGAAUACCGAUGGCGAAGGCAGCCCCCUGGGAUAACACUGACGCUCAUGCACGAAAGCGUGGGGAGCGAACAGG